rnacentral:rRNA from 2 species
UAAAACCAGCACCUCAAGUGGUCAGGAGGAUUAUUGGGCCUAAAGCAUCCGUAGCCUGUUCUAUAAGUUUCCGGUUAAAUCCAUUAGCUCAACUAAUGGGCUGCCGAAAAUACUGUAGAACUAGGGAGUGGGAGAGGUAGACGGUACUCAGGAGGAAGGGGUAAAAUCCUUUGAUCUAUUGAGGACCACCUGUGGCGAAGGCGGUCUACCAGAACACGUUCGACGGUGAGGGAUGAAAGCUGGGGGAGCAAACCGGAUUAGAUACCCGGGUAGUCCCAGCCGUAAACGAUGCAGACUCGGUGAUGCGCUGGCUUGUGGCCAGUGCAGUGCCGCAGGGAAGCUGUUAAGUUUGCCGCCUGGGAAGUACGUACGCAAGUAUG